rnacentral:rRNA from 1 species
CCAGACUCCUACGGGAGGCAGCAGUGGGGGAUAUUGCACAAUGGGGGGAACCCUGAUGCAGCGACGCCGCGUGGGUGAAGGAGCGUUUCGGCGCGUAAAGCCCUAUCGGCAGGGAAGAAGGAGGACGGUACCUGACUAAGAAGCCCCGGCUAACUACGUGCCAGCAGCCGCGGUAAUACGUAGGGGGCAAGCGUUAUCCGGAUUUACUGGGUGUAAAGGGAGCGUAGACGGCAAUACAAGUCGGAAGUGAAAUACCCGGGCUCAACCUGGGAACUGCUUUGGAAACUGUAUGGCUGGAGUGCUGGAGAGGUAAGCGGAAUUCCUAGUGUAGCGGUGAAAUGCGUAGAUAUUAGGAGGAACACCAGUGGCGAAGGCGGCUUACUGGACAGUAACUGACGUUGAGGCUCGAAAGCGUGGGGAGCAAACAGGAUUAGAUACCCGCGUA